UGACGGUGGUGGUUGGGGUUAGUGACAUGAGUAGGUUGAGAUGACAUGAGAUGAGAAUUUGAAGUGAGAAGGCCCUGUUGGUUAUGAGGUUUUGCAGUCAUGAAUGUAAGGUGAAAUGACAUGACGAUAGGGUGGUGAUGGUGGUGGUUGGUGGAAAUGGUAUGGUAGAAAUUGGGUAUGGUAGAAUUGGGUUGAAGAGGUUGAUGUCUGUCAGUUUAGGUAAUCCUGGGUUUGAUGGUGGCAGCAAUGUAUAGUAGAAAUUGGGUAUGGUAGAAUUGGGUUGAAGAGGUUGAUGUCUGUUGAUUUGGGUAGUCCUGGGUUUGGUGAUGGUGGUGGUGGUAAUACAGAAUUGGGUUGACAAGGUUGAUGCCUGUUGAUUUGGGUAGUCCUGGGUUUGGUGGUGGUGAUGAAAUUGAUGGUGGUAGAAAUAUAGCAAUGGGUUGGUCUGGCAUGAGAUUAUACAGUUGGCAAAUGCAAAGUCAAACAUUACAUUAAUUAGAAUAUAGAUUAAAAAAUACUAACAUAUCAACGAAACAGGAUUAAAUUAUUGCAUAGUGAUGUAGGAAUCUAAAACUAGCACCACAAGAUAUGCAUACAUGGUAGUUAAAAAUUCAUAAUAAAAAUCUUGAUGAUAUAAGAAUGUAUAUAUAGAGAGAGCAAAAAUUCUUCGGCAAUGAUGAAGUUAAAAUGUAAAUACCAGAAUGUUGUUGAGACUAAGUUAGUAAAUUUAAGAAAGGGGA